UACAGAGGGUGCAAGCGUUAAUCGGAAUUACUGGGCGUAAAGCGUGCGUAGACGGUCAUGUAAGUCGGGUGUGAAAGCCCCGGGCUCAACCUGGGAAUUGCAUUCGAGACUGCAUGGCUAGGAUGCGGAAGAGGGAAGCGGAAUUUCCGGUGUAGCGGUGAAAUGCGUAGAUAUCGGGAGGAACACCAGUGGCGAAGGCGGCGACCUGGGCCAAUACUGACGCUGAGGUGCGAAAGCGUGGGGAGCAAACAGG
rnacentral:rRNA from 1 species